UCCCUGGUGGUUCAGUGGUUAGAACUCGGUGCUCUCGCUGCCGAGGCCCAGGUUCAAUCCCUGGUCAGGGCA